CCGGAGAGUAAAGAACCAAAUCUGCACCACCAUCAACGCACAGAAAAGAAAAGCGUUGUAGCUCAUUUUUAUGUCAACAGCUGGAGGGGAAGUGUUUCCUUGGACUCCGCCUUCGUUGAUUGCACACCUGAAACUGCUUAUUACAGCUGGGCUACUUAAGGCUAGCGCUUUCCCAGAGAUGCUUGCUGCGUUGAGGAGAAAUGUCAAGACAGAGCUAGAGAGUCUGAAAAGACAGAUGCUUGCCUGUCCCCCUGCUUUAACCAGUCAGUGAAGCGCAGUCUGGAAAUGACUGUUUUCACUGCUCUGCUUGCAAACAACUCAGUCUAACUUAAGA